rnacentral:rRNA from 1 species
AGAGUUUGAUCCUGGCUCAGGACGAACGCUGGCGGCGCGCCUAACACAUGCAAGUCGAACGAGAGAUGAGGAGCUUGCUCUUCAAAUCGAGUGGCGAACGGGUGAGUAACGCGUGAGGAACCUGCCUCAAAGAGGGGGACAACAGUUGGAAACGACUGCUAAUACCGCAUAAGCCCACGGCUCGGCAUCGAGCAGAGGGAAAAGGAGUGAUCCGCUUUGAGAUGGCCUCGCGUCCGAUUAGCUGGUUGGUGAGGUAACGGCCCACCAAGGCGACGAUCGGUAGCCGGACUGAGAGGUUGAACGGCCACAUUGGGACUGAGACACGGCCCAGACUCCUACGGGAGGCAGCAGUGGGGAAUAUUGCACAAUGGGGGAAACCCUGAUGCAGCGACGCCGCGUGGAGGAAGAAGGUCUUCGGAUUGUAAACUCCUGUUGUUGAGGAAGAUAAUGACGGUACUCAACAAGGAAGUGACGGCUAACUACGUGCCAGCAGCCGCGGUAAAACGUAGGUCACAAGCGUUGUCCGGAAUUACUGGGUGUAAAGGGAGCGCAGGCGGGAGAACAAGUUGGAAGUGAAAUCCAUGGGCUCAACCCAUGAACUGCUUUCAAAACUGUUUUUCUUGAGUAGUGCAGAGGUAGGCGGAAUUCCCGGUGUAGCGGUGGAAUGCGUAGAUAUCGGGAGGAACACCAGUGGCGAAGGCGGCCUACUGGGCACCAACUGACGCUGAGGCUCGAAAGUGUGGGUAGCAAACAGGAUUAGAUACCCUGGUAGUCCACACCGUAAACGAUGAUUACUAGGUGUUGGAGGAUUGACCCCUUCAGUGCCGCAGUUAACACAAUAAGUAAUCCACCUGGGGAGUACGACCGCAAGGUUGAAACUCAAAGGAAUUGACGGGGGCCCGCACAAGCAGUGGAGUAUGUGGUUUAAUUCGACGCAACGCGAAGAACCUUACCAAGUCUUGACAU